AACGAACGCUGGCGGCAGGCUUAACACAUGCAAGUCGAACGCAUCCUUCGGGGUGAGUGGCAGACGGGUGAGUAACGCGUGGGAACGUGCCCUUCAGUUCGGGAUAACCCGGGGAAACUUGGGCUAAUACCGGAUACGUGCGAGAGCAGAAAGAUUUAUCGCUGAAGGAUCGGCCCGCGUCUGAUUAGCUAGUUGGUGGGGUAAUGGCCCACCAAGGCGACGAUCAGUAGCUGGUCUGAGAGGAUGAUCAGCCACAUUGGGACUGAGACACGGCCCAAACUCCGACGGGAGGAAGCAGUGGGGAAUAUUGGACAAUGGGCGCAAGCCUGAUCCAGCCAUGCCGCGUGAGUGAUGAAGGCCCUAGGGUUGUAAAGCCCUUUCGGCGGGGAAGAUAAUGACGGUACCCGCAGAAGAAGCCCCGGCUAACUUCGUGCCAGCCGCCGCGGUAA
rnacentral:rRNA from 1 species